ACUACUCUACAUUGCCGAGGAGCGAAGGUUUUUGUUAAGCGAGCGAGGUAAGAAUGAACUUUAUUUUCCUGCUCCAAAAGGUAAGCCUCCUGAAAUUUCUAAAAAAAAUUUGUUUUCCUCGGAUGGUAAUAACAAUCUUGUUCGUGAAUUAGUUUUUGAAAGAUACUUUGAUUGUGAUAUGGUUAAUUGUUUUGCCUCAAUUGAACAUGAUCUAUCUAUUUUUAUUGGUGA
rnacentral:lncRNA from 1 species